CCUACGGGUGGCAGCAGUGGGGAAUAUUGCGCAAUGGGCGAAAGCCUGACGCAGCGACGCCGCGUGAGGGAUGAAGGUCUUCGGAUCGUAAACCUCUGUCAGCAGGGAAGAAAGGUCACUGUGCUAAUCAGCAGUGAAUUGACGGUACCUGCAAAGGAAGCACCGGCUAACUACGUGACAGCAGCCGCGGUAAUACGGAGGGUGCGAGCGUUAAUCGGAAUUACUGGGAGGAAAGCGCUCGUAGGCGGUAUGUCAAGUCAAGGGUGAAAUCCGCGCGCUCAACGUCGGAACUGCCUUUGAAACUGGCAAGCUGGAGUGUGUGAGAGGAUAGUGGAAUUCCAGGUGUAGGAGUGAAAUGCGUAGAUAUCUGGAGGAACAUCAGUGGCGAAGGCGACUAUCUGGCACAUAACUGACGCUGAGGAGCGAAAGCGUGGGUAGCAAACAGGAUUAGAUACCCGAGUAGUC
rnacentral:rRNA from 1 species